UACAGGGGGUGCAAACGUUGCUCGGAAUCACUGGGCUUAAAGGGCGCGUAGGCGGCUUGCCAAGUCAGGGGUGAAAUCUUUCGGCUUAACCGGAAAAGUGCCUUUGAUACUGGCAGGCUUGAGGGAGGUAGGGGCAUGUGGAACUUCCGGUGGAGCGGUGAAAUGCGUUGAUAUCGGAAGGAACGCCGGUGGCGAAAGCGACGUGCUGGACCUCUUCUGACGCUGAGGCGCGAAAGCUAGGGGAGCGAACGGG
rnacentral:rRNA from 1 species